AAGGGGAACUGCACGAUGGAGGUGACCGGGUACUGAGCAUUUCAGAUCUGCUUGAUAAACCUGGCAUACCACCAUGCUGGCUGCAAGGCUUGUAUGUCUCUGGACGCUACCUUCUAGGGUUUUCCAUCCAACUUUCACCAAGGCCUCCCCCGUUGUGAAGAAUUCCGUUGUGAAGAAUUCCAUCACGAAGAAUCAAUGGCUCUUAACACCCAGCAGGGAAUAUGCCACCAAGACAAGAAUUGGGAUCCGGUGUGGGAAAACUGGCCAAGAACUCAAAGAGGCAGCUUUGGAACCAUUGAUGGAAAAAAUAUUUAAAAUUGAUCAGAUGGGAAGAUGGUUUGUGGCUGGAUGGGCUUCUGUUGGUCUUGGAGCAUUGUGCUACUAUGGCUUGGGAAUGUCUAAUGAGAUUGGAACUAUUGAAAAGGCUGUAAUUUGGCCUCAGUAUGUGAAGGACAGAAUUCAUUCUACCUAUAUAUACUUAGGAGGAAGUAUUGGUUUAACAGCUUUGCCUGCCUUGGCAAUAAGCAGAACUCCUGUUCUUAUGAACUUCAUGAUGAGAGGCUCUUGGGUGAAAAUUGGUGCAACCUUUGCAGCCAUGAUUGGAGCUGGAAUGCUUGUACAAUCAGUAUCAUAUGACCGGAGCCCAGGCCCAAAGCAUCUUGCUUGGUUGCUACAUUCUGGCGCGAUGGGUGCAGUGGUGGCUCCUCUGACGAGAAUAGGGGGACCUCUUCUCAUCAGAGCUGCAUGUUACACAGCCGGCAUUGUGGGAGGUCUCUCCACUGUGGCCAUGUGCACACCCAGUGAAAAGUUUCUGAACAUGGGUGCACGCUGGGAGUGGGCCUGGAUCUCGUCUUUGUGUCCUCGCUGGGAUCUAUGUUUCUUCUACCCACCGCUGUGGCUGGUGCCACUCUGUACUCAGUGGCAAUGUAUGGUGGAUUAGUUCUUUUCAGCAUGUUCCUUCUGUAUAAUACCCAGAAAGUAAUCAAGCGUGCAGAAAUAGCACCAAUGUAUGGAGUUCAAAAACAUGAUCCCAUCAACUUGAUGCUGAGCAUCUAUAUGGAUACAUUAAAUAUAUUUAUGCGAGUUGCGACUAUGCUAGCAACUGGAAGCAACAGAAAGAAAUGAAGUGACUCAACUUCUGGCAUCUCUGCUAGAUCAGAUAUCUUGCUUGUUUAAUAGGGCAGAUAUUCAUUAAAUAGUUUGUAUAAGUAGAUUUCACUGAAGUUUAGAAGAUAAGAACAAGUCACAAUGUUUAAAACGUUCCAGUAAUGUGAUGCUUCAGGUCUGCUUUUUCUUCUGGAGAAUAAAUUCAGUAGCUAUCUCCCACAUAAGCAC